rnacentral:rRNA from 1 species
GACGAACGCUGGGGGCGUGCUUAACACAUGCAAGUCGAACGAUGAAGCCCAGCUUGCUGGGUGGAUUAGUGGCGAACGGGUGAGUAACACGUGGGCAACCUGCCCCAAACUCUGGGAUAACUCCUCGAAAGAGGUGCUAAUACCGGAUACGAACUAGGUAGACAUCUGCACUAGGUGGAAAGUUUUUAGGUUUGGGAUGGGCCCGCGGCCUAUCAGCUUGUUGGUGAGGUAACGGCUCACCAAGGCUACGACGGGUAACCGGCCUGAGAGGGCGACCGGUCACACUGGGACUGAGACACGGCCCAGACUCCUACGGGAGGCAGCAGUGGGGAAUAUUGCGCAAUGGGCGAAAGCCUGACGCAGCGACGCCGCGUGAGGGAUGAAGGUCUUCGGAUCGUAAACCUCUUUCAGUAGGGACGAAGCGAAAGUGACGGUACCUAAAGAAGAAGCACCGGCUAACUACGUGCCAGCAGCCGCCGCCG